rnacentral:rRNA from 1 species
UAAGCNGAGGAAAAGAAACUAACAAGGAUUCCCCUAGUAACUGCGAGUGAAGCGGGAAAAGCUCAAAUUUAAAAUCUGGUGGCCUCUGGUCAUCCGAGUUGUAAUUUAGAGAAGCGUCUUCCGCGCUGGACCAUGCACAAGUCUCCUGGAAUGGAGCGUCAUAGAGGGUGAGAAUCCCGUCUUUGGCAUGGAUGCACCAGGGCUUCUGUGAUGCGCUCUCAAAGAGUCGAGUUGUUUGGGAAUGCAGCUCAAAAUGGGUGGUGAACUCCAUCUAAAGCUAAAUAUUGGCGAGAGACCGAUAGCGAACAAGUACCGUGAGGGAAAGAUGAAAAGCACUUUGGAAAGAGAGUGAAACAGUACGUGAAAUUGUUGAAAGGGAAACGCUUGAAGUCAGUCGCGUCAUCCAGGGAUCAACCUUGCUUUUGCUUGGUGCACUUCCUGGUUUGAUGGGUCAGCAUCAAUUUUGACCGCUGGAAAAAGGCUAAGGGAAUGUGGCAUCUUUGGAUGUGUUAUAGCCCUUGGUCGCAUACAGUGGUUGGGAUUGAGGAACUCAGCACGCCGCAAGGUCGGGUUUUUAACCACGUACGUGCUUAGGAUGCUGGCAAUAUGGCUUUAAUCGACC